UACAGAGGUCUCAAGCGUUGUUCGGAAUUACUGGGCGUAAAGGGUGCGUAGGCGGCUUUCUAAGUCGGAUGUGAAAACUCUGGGCUCAACCCAGAGCCUGCAUCCGAAACUGGAGAGCUAGGGUUCUGGAGGGGAAAGCGGAAUUCCUGGUGUAGCGGUGAAAUGACGUAGAUAUCAGGAGGAACACCGGUGGCGAAGGCGGCUCACUGGACCAUAACUGACGCUGAGGCGCGAAAGCUAGGGGAGCAAACAGG
rnacentral:rRNA from 1 species